rnacentral:rRNA from 1 species
UACGAAGGGGGCUAGCGUUGCUCGGAAUCACUGGGCGUAAAGGGUGCGUAGGCGGGUCUUUAAGUCUGGGGUGAAAUCCUGGAGCUCAACUCCAGAACUGCCUUUGAUACUGAAGAUCUUGAGUUCGGGAGAGGUGAGUGGAACUGCGAGUGUAGAGGUGAAAUUCGUAGAUAUUCGCAAGAACACCAGUGGCGAAGGCGGCUCACUGGCCCGAUACUGACGCUGAGGCACGAAAGCGUGGGGAGCAAACAGG